CGCCGCUCUCUGUCGCUCCUCCGCCUCCCAUUUUCAUUAUUCGAUACUCUUGCGAGGCAUUCGCCCUUUCCCGCCGCUCGCAGUCACUCCUCCGCCUCCCGUUUUCAUUAUUCGUUACUCUUGCGAGGCAUUCGUGUUUCUCCGAUUCGUCUUCUCAAGAGGAAGCAGGUUUUCUUUCCCUCGCGUUUUCACAGUCAUGUUGUUGCUUCGUCGGAUCAUUGUAGUCAGUCGGCCAUCAUCAGUCUUUGUUCACGGGUUUUCUGAAAGUCCGUUGAAAUCUCUCAGAUACUCAUCGACUUCUUCUGAGAUCGCAUCACCUCCAAAAUCUGCAUCGCCGGAUUCUGAUUCUGUCAAGCCAGAGAACGAUGAGAAGCCUGUAAUCGUGUUCUUUGAGAAUCAUGGAUUCUCAAAAACACAGAUCUCUGAUCUUGUCAAGAAAUUCCCUCAAGUUCUUUCCGCGAACCCCGAAAAGACGCUAUUGCCAAAAUUGUUGUUCUUUCAAUCGAAAGGCCUUUCUUCCCCCGAGAUUGCCAAAUUAGUGUGUAGUUUUCCUUCGAUUUUAGCGCGAAGUUUAGACAGAAAAAUCAUUCCAGCUUUUGAUUACAUUCAAGAGCUACUUCAAACUGAGGAGAAGACUGUCGCAUCCAUAAAACGGUUUUUAGGUAUUCUCACUUGUGAUCUCCAAAUUCAUGCUCGUCCCAAUGUUGAAACUCUAAUACAAAUUGGAGUCCCUGAUUCCAACAUUGCAACCAUUCUUCACUACCAACCACGAGUGUUCUUGAUAAACACCGUCCGAUUCAAGGAGAUUGUGGAGGAAGUUAAGGAAAUGGGAUUCAACCCUCUGCGAUUGAAGUUUGUUCUUGCUGUUUUUGCUAUGCGAGCAAUGAGCAAAUCUACAUGGAGAAAAAAAGUUGAAGUUUACAAGAAAUGGGGAUGGCCUGAAGAAGAGAUUCUCUCCGCUUUUCGAAGGCAUCCAUGGUGUAUGAUGGCUUCCGAGGAUAAGAUCAAUGGCGUAAUGGAUUUCUUUGUGAACAAGAUUGGAUGUGAACCUUCAUACAUUGCAAAGCGACCUGCUCUGAUUUCACUUAGUUUAAAGAAGAGGAUUGUGCCAAGAGGCUCUGUUUAUCAAGCUUUGCUGUCAAAGGGUUUGAUUAAGAAAGAUGUGAAUCUUCCUUUGCUGUUUGAUUCUACUGAAAGCCGAUUCUUAGCCAAAUUCAUCGACCCUCAUAAGGAGCUGAUUCCUGAAUUGUUGAAGUUGUAUAAAGAGAAAUUGGAGGAUGCUAAGAGAUAGCAGGUUCAUUUUCCUUCUCUAAAUGUUAACAUUUACCUGUUUUGCUUGUUCAUAUGUCUAUUGAUAUCUUAAAAUUGAUGUAUGUUCAAGAGCUUGUGCUGAAUUGGCUGCUAUUUAGAUUGUUUACUAAAUGAUGGUUUGAGCUGAACUGACUAUAGCACAUUGUAACAAUAAUAAUGUAAUAUCCAUCGGAUAAAAAGUAAAAUAAAUAAUAAUAAUAAAAUAAAAAAAUAAAAAGAAAGACCGCCUGCAGCAAAAGACUGUGGAGUACCCAUUUUCAAGGACUUUUCGAGGGCAGAAGAAGAGGGUUGGAGAGCCCUCGGAAAUGGAGGAGGAGCUCACGAACUCUCGGAGACCAGAGAACUCGUUGUGAGUCCAUGCACAAGCGCCAUCCGAUCGAUUAGGGAUAAGUUUGAGGACUUCCACCGCCGAGGCUUGGAGCUUGAGUUUAGUGGAGAAAAAGAGUCGAAAUGGGCGGAAGGGAAUGGAGAAUCGAGAUAUCACUUUGGAUCUAUGAGAUUUGAGGAUUGUAGGCGUUGGAAAUGAAUCAGAGGGAGCGAAGACGGCGAGCAUGCAAUGGAAUUAUUUGAGGAGUUUGGUAAAUUUUGGAACCCUCCAAAGACACAAAUCCGAACAAAAACGUUCUGUGUUUUAAGUGGAGUUUGAUGUAGCAGUUGAGGCGGAGGCACACGUGGGCUGUUGGCUACAGAGAAUUCCAUCACAUUUGAGUCUGUAGUCUUGUUUGUGCUUUGCCUUUAAAUCCUGCACUUCAUGUAUUUAAGUGAUCUCUUCCCGUCUUUCUAUGAAUAUAAGAUUUUCAUUACUAUUUU